rnacentral:rRNA from 1 species
UACGUAGGGGGCUAGCGUUGUCCGGAUUUAUUGGGCGUAAAGAGCGUGUAGGCGGCCUGACAGGUCUGCUGUGAAAACUCGAGGCUUAACCUCGAGAUGUCGGCGGAAACCGUCUGGCUAGAGUCCGGAAGAGGAGAGUGGAAUUCCUGGUGUAGCGGUGAAAUGCGCAGAUAUCAGGAAGAACACCUAUGGCGAAGGCAGCUCUCUGGGACGGUACUGACGCUGAGACGCGAAAGCGUGGGGAGCGAACAGG